AGAGGAUGGUGUUUGGUAAAAUAUCAGAAAGCAGCUUUUGGUUGAAAUGGCUUCUCCGUAAAGCCGAAUUUGAGAAGCAACAUUUUGUAGCUUUGGAAAGCUGCUUCGGGAAAAACACGGAGGUUGAACAGUGCAUAGUUUAAUGAAAUUCACACUUCCUGCCAAUUAUGUCCUCCUCCUUUUCUGAUAAUUACAUCGAAACAACAUAACCUAUCUUUUGUCCAUCUCUUUGCCGUCAUUCAUUCCACAUCUCCUCAUUCCUCUUCUUCAAUUCGUGGAUUCUCGCCGGCCUCGCCUCCUUCAAUUCGUGGGUUCCAUCUCUUUGCCGUCUCCACAAAUAUCAUUAUUAUUCCACAUCUCCUCCUUCCUCUUCUUCAAUUCGUGGAUUCUCGCUACAAUUUGGGUCUUCUGGGUUAUGCUUCUUCUCUGAAGAUAAUCUAUCAAACGGAACCCAAUUCCUCUGAUUCCUCCAUAGCUGCACAAAAAGGAGUAAGGAGAAUUCUUGUACAUCUCAACAUUGGAUAAUUCGAUCCUCAUCAAACUUCUCCUCCUUCUCUCUCUGCUGUCACUAAAAGAUGGCCUUGUUAUGGAGGUGGCCUAGUGGUGGAAGGAUUCUUCCAAAGUUUUGUUAGAUUUUAACUCAAUAGUAGGUGUGCAAGUAAGGAGUGAGAAAUUUUGUAUUCAACAUGAGAAGGAAUUGAUUUGAGACAUUGAGGGUAUUCUUAUAAUCAUUAUUGAGCUUAACCUUAUUGCUUGACAUAUUAUUUACUGAAUCCAUGUAAUGUGAUGCUAAUACAAGAAAGGUAUCACUUUAGUCACUAUCUGUAAAUGUUUUCCCAUCUCAAUGUAAGAUGAUGCAAUUGCAAGAAACUUGUUAUCUUUCGUCAGAUUA